GCCUCCGUAGUCCAACGGAUAGAACGAUGGUCUUCGGAACCAUAGAUGUGGGUUCGAUUCCUGCCGGAGGCACCA
rnacentral:tRNA from 1 species